rnacentral:rRNA from 1 species
AGUGAACGCUGGCGGCGUGCCUAAUACAUGCAAGUCGAACGAUGAAGUCCUAGCUUGCUAGGAUGGAUUAGUGGCGCACGGGUGAGUAAUAUAUAGUUAAUCUGCCCUACACAGAGGAACAACAGUUAGAAACGGCUGCUAAUACCUCAUACUCCUAUUUGACAUAAGUUAAAUAGGGAAAGUCUUUUCGGUGUAGGAUGAGACUAUAUCGUAUCAGCUAGUUGGUAAGGUAAUGGCUUACCAAGGCUAUGACGCGUAACUGGUCUGAGAGGAUGAUCAGUCACAUUGGAACUGAGACACGGUCCAAACUCCUACGGGAGGCAGCAGUAAGGAAUAUUGCGCAAUGGGGGAAACCCUGACGCAGCAACGCCGCGUGGAGGAUGACACUUUUCGGAGCGUAAACUCCUUUUAUCAGGAAAGAAUAAUGACGGUACCUGAUGAAUAAGCACCGGCUAACUCCGUGCCAGCAGCCGCGGUAAUACGGGGGGUGCAAGCGUUACUCGGAAUCACUGGGCGUAAAGGACGCGUAGGCGGAUUAUCAAGUCUUUUGUGAAAUCUAGUGGCUUAACCACUAAACUGCUUAGGAAACUGAUAGUCUAGAGUAGGGGGGAGGUAGAUGGAAUUCUUAGUGUAGGGGUAAAAUCCGUAGAGAUCAAGAAGAAUACCCAUUGCGAAAGCGAUCUGCUGGAACCUAACUGACGCUGAGGCGUGAAAGCGUGGGUAGCAAACAGG